rnacentral:rRNA from 1 species
GACAGAGGCCCCAAGCGUUAGGCGGAAUCACUGGGCUUAAAGCGUGCGUAGGCGGACGCCUAAGUGUCUUGUGAAAUCCCACGGCUCACCCGUGGAACUGCUGGGCAUACUGGGCGUCUUGGGCCAACUAGGGGCAGCCGGAACAAGCGGUGGAGCGGUGAAAUGCGUAGAUAUCGCUUGGAACGCCGAAGGUGAAAACAGGCUGCUGGGGUUGUGCCGACGCUGAGACACGAAAGCCAGGGGAGCAAACGGG